AGUUUAAGUCUCGAAUAUUGCGUGAAUUGGGAUGGACGGUAAUUCAUGCACACAAAAUGAAACGGAAAACAAAACUAGAACGAUGGUUCCUUCUCUUUCUUUUUUGUUACCGUAUCUUAUUCCCAUUUUCUCAAAUUUCGUUCUGUCUUCUUCUUUUAUCCUUAAUUUUCUGUCUCUUGCAAAA
rnacentral:ribozyme from 1 species